rnacentral:lncRNA from 1 species
UCAAACUGCCGUUUUUCCCUUUCACUUACCAGCCUUUUUUCCUUUUUCCUGCAAUCCAAACAAGAAAUCAGCCAAAAUUUAUGUAAAACGAAACCCAGUUUUUAAUAUUUAUUUUAUAUAAUAACUUAAAAUGUGAGCAGUUUUGGCCGUUUAAAGAGUAAAAAGGCAACAAAAGCAAACAUCUCUCGUCCUUUCCUUUUCUUUGAGAUUCCCUGCAUUUUUUUUUCUCUUUCGUUUUCCCUCGUGUCGUCCAAACACUGUCUGGAAUAAGGCGCAGUUUAGUUAAAUCCAUUGACACGUCAGAUGAAAGACGGUGUAGGUUAGUGCACCCGACGUAUUUUUAUUAACUUUUGCAUUUAAAAAAAAAAAAGAUUAAUCGGAAAGUUUGCCGGGAAAACGACUUUAUGUGACUUCGUCGGAAGUGGUUCCCCAC